rnacentral:rRNA from 1 species
UACGGAGGGUGCAAGCGUUAUCCGGAUUCACUGGGUUUAAAGGGUGUGUAGGCGGGUAUUUAAGUCAGUGGGGAAAUCCUACAGCUUAACUGUAGAACUGCCAUUGAUACUAUUUAUCUUGAAUAUUGUUGAGGUAGGCGGAAUACAUCAUGUAGCGGUGAAAUGCUUAGAUAUGAUGUAGAACACCGAUUGCGAAGGCAGCUUACUAAGCAAAUAUUGACGCUGAGGCACGAAAGCGUGGGGAUCAAACAGG